GUUUUCUUAACUAUUUAUCCAUUUUAGUAGACACUAUCAAGGAUUAAUCAUGUCUGGAUAUUUUCUCAAUUUAUACUUUUUACAAAGGUUUCUAUUGAUGCGUGUGAGAAAUGGUUCUCUUAACCCUACUAGUGUUUAGUGCUAUUUGUGUAAUUCAUAAGGAUUGUGCUUUCCCGGUAUUUAUUAUGGACCAUUGGAUGGAAUCGAUGGUCGGGAUUUAAACUUAAUAGAUAUUUUGUUGCCUUGGCUCGUUAAAGAAGUUUUGGAUCAUUUACCAAACAUGUGACUUACCCCACGUUUUUGUAAGAGAGUGCAGUGUCUUUAGGUGGUGGGGGGUUAUUUCAAAAGGAGGCUAGUCUUUAUUUUCUCUCUGCUCGACAGAAAACGCUCCUCCAUUUUUGGUUCUAAAAGGUGGCGGUUUGAAGGGGUUCUUUGCCGGUUUUCUCUCUCUCUUUUGGAACGUGAUUUGCAAGUCAUGGAGGGCUGUUCCUGAGCCUGUAAAAUCAGCCAUAAGGAGGAGAAGAAGCUGUUGAAAGGAGGAAGCAGAAGCUGUCCAAAUUCGGCCAUAUGGGUUGUGUUAUUUCCGAUUUCGUAUUUUCUUGGUUUUGCCUUAGAAUUUCUUCUAUUGAUUGAUGUUUUGGUUGAUUGAACUCUUAGGAUCCCCAACAAACUGGUAUCAGAGCUAGGAAGAGUGAAAUCUGUCCAAAAAUCGAUCAAAACCGGCAAGGAAAUCGCUACUCCAUUUUCUGACCGAAUCUGAAAAAUUCAAAUUCCGGCCAAACUAUUGACUUUCCGGGAAUGGAACCUGUACCCAUAACCAGCAGACUGAGGCGCUCCUUGUGGUGGGGCGCGUGACCGGCGGCGGCGCGUGGCGGACCUCCGGCAAGCUUUUUUCGGGCAGUUUACUUAUUUUGACGUCCUGAACGCACUGAUGUCGUUUGUUUUCUGUUUCAGGUUUUACAAAAAAAGUUGGACGAUUUUGCCCCUGGCUUGACGUCUACC
rnacentral:lncRNA from 1 species